CUUUAAAAUAUAUUUAUUCUAAAAGGAAAUAAAUAACAAUAUAAAGUACAUUUGUUACCUAAUUUUUGAAUUUUUAUUUAUAACAAUUUUUUAGUUAUUGAUGGUCAAAUUGUAUAAUGAUAAAAAAAAAUUCUGAAGGGUCCAACAAUUUUGUAUGCUUCUCCCCUUGAUACUUAAAAAUGUGAUUAUUUAAAUAAAAAACACCAUAAAAAAUAAUAAUAAUAAAAUACAGGUAAUAAAAAUAAGUAAUAUAUUUUAAGCUUUUAUUUAAAUCAGGGCAUUGUAAUCAAUAAUUAUCAAAGUGAGAAAUACCAUUUUGUUACCUUAACAUAAGUAAAUAAUAUUUAAUAAUUUAAAAUAUGAAUCUAGUCAUUUAUUGUUUAAAAUAUUGCAGUUAAAUUAUAAGCUAUAUAAAUACGUAAUUUGAAAAAAAAGUUUUACCCCAAAUAAAUAAUACAUUACAUAUUU